rnacentral:tRNA from 1 species
GGGAGUGUGGCUUAGUGGUAGAACACUUGCCUAGCAUGCGAUAGAUCUUGGGUACAAUUCCUAACACUGCAA